GCCUCUCAAGGGCAGCUUAAAUCGGUUAGAGCGCGGUGCUGAUAAUGCCGAGGUUUGCAGGUUCAAUCCCCGCACGGGACA